rnacentral:rRNA from 1 species
UACGGAGGGUGCAAGCGUUAUCCGGAUUCACUGGGUUUAAAGGGUGCGUAGGCGGGCAGGUAAGUCAGUGGUGAAAUCUCCGGGCUUAACCCGGAACUGCCGUUGAUACUAUCUGUCUUGAAUAUCGUGGAGGUAAGCGGAAUAUGUCAUGUAGCGGUGAAAUGCUUAGAUAUGACAUAGAACACCCAUUGCGAAGGCAGCUUACUACACGAUCAUUACGCUGAGGCACGAAAGCGUGGGGGAGCAAACAGG